GUCAGGAUGGCCUAGUGGUCUAAGUGCCAGAAUCAAGUUUUGGUCCUCGUAAGAGGGUAUGGGUUCAAAUCCCACUUAUGACA
rnacentral:tRNA from 1 species